UUGAGCUGUAUGCAGAGAAAUUUGCUUGUACAGUUCUUAGGGGGCUAAGUUGUAGUAAUACAACUUGGCUACCCGAU
rfam:Haemophilus somnus 2336, complete genome.